rnacentral:misc_RNA from 1 species
UUUCCGUAGGUGAACCUGCGGAAGGAUCAUUAAAAAUGAAGCCGGGAAACCGGUCCUUCUCACCCUUGAUUAUCUCAAAUUGUUGCUUUGGUGGGCCGCGCAAGCACCGGCUUCGGCUGGAUCGUGCCCGCCAGAGGACCACAACUCUGUAUUAUAUGUCGUCUGAGUACUAUAAAAUAGUUAAAACUUUCAACAACGGAUCUCUUGAUUCUG